GAUAAACGCUGGCGGCGUGCCUAAUACAUGCAAGUCGAGCGAACGGACGAGAAGCUUGCUUCUCUGAUGUUAGCGGCGGACGGGUGAGUAACACGUGGAUAACCUACCUAUAAGACUGGGAUAACUUCGGGAAACCGGAGCUAAUACCGGAUAAUAUUUUGAACCGCAUGGUUCAAAAGUGAAAGACGGUCUUGCUGUCACUUAUAGAUGGAUCCGCGCUGCAUUAGCUAGUUGGUAAGGUAACGGCUUACCAAGGCAACGAUGCAUAGCCGACCUGAGAGGGUGAUCGGCCACACUGGAACUGAGACACGGUCCAGACUCCUACGGGAGGCAGCAGUAGGGAAUCUUCCGCAAUGGGCGAAAGCCUGACGGAGCAACGCCGCGUGAGUGAUGAAGGUCUUCGGAUCGUAAAACUCUGUUAUUAGGGAAGAACAUAUGUGUAAGUAACUGUGCACAUCUUGACGGUACCUAAUCAGAAAGCCACGGCUAACUACGUGCCAGCAGCCGCGGUAAUACGUAGGUGGCAAGCGUUAUCCGGAAUUAUUGGGCGUAAAGCGCGCGUAGGCGGUUUUUUAAGUCUGAUGUGAAAGCCCACGGCUCAACCGUGGAGGGUCAUUGGAAACUGGAAAACUUGAGUGCAGAAGAGGAAAGUGGAAUUCCAUGUGUAGCGGUGAAAUGCGCAGAGAUAUGGAGGAACACCAGUGGCGAAGGCGACUUUCUGGUCUGUAACUGACGCUGAUGUGCGAAAGCGUGGGGAUCAAACAGGAUUAGAUACCCUGGUAGUCCACGCCGUAAACGAUGAGUGCUAAGUGUUAGGGGGUUUCCGCCCCUUAGUGCUGCAGCUAACGCAUUAAGCACUCCGCCUGGGGAGUACGACCGCAAGGUUGAAACUCAAAGGAAUUGACGGGGACCCGCACAAGCGGUGGAGCAUGUGGUUUAAUUCGAAGCAACGCGAAGAACCUUACCAAAUCUUGACAUCCUUUGACAACUCUAGAGAUAGAGCCUUCCCCUUCGGGGGACAAAGUGGCAGGUGGUGCAUGGUUGUCGUCAGCUCGUGCCGUGAGAUGUUGGGUUAAGUCCCGCAACGAGCGCAACCCUUAAGCUUAGUUGCCAUCAUUAAGUUGGGCACUCUAAGUUGACUGCCGGUGACAAACCGGAGGAAGGUGGGGAUGACGUCAAAUCAUCAUGCCCCUUAUGAUUUGGGCUACACACGUGCUACAAUGGACAAUACAAAGGGCAGCGAAACCGCGAGGUCAAGCAAAUCCCAUAAAGUUGUUCUCAGUUCGGAUUGUAGUCUGCAACUCGACUACAUGAAGCUGGAAUCGCUAGUAAUCGUAGAUCAGCAUGCUACGGUGAAUACGUUCCCGGGUCU
rnacentral:rRNA from 1 species